ACACCAAGCAGUACCACACACCAAGGAAACCUCUCUCUCUCUCUUCUAUGAGGUCUAGCUGUCUCAUAAGGCACGCCCCUCCUUAUAUAGCUACCAGAACUUGCUCUCCACGUCUUCAACUUGCUCUCCAAGUCUUUCAAAUACGCUUAAGACAACUUUCCAUUUUCUUUAAUGGAAAACUUCAUCUUCAAGUAACUCUCUUUUGCUUUAUGGAAAACGUCCAUAUGUCUUCAAACAUAUAUCCUCUUUCCUUUUCCAAGCUCAGCAAGUUCACGCAAUCACAAAACCCAAACUCCCAUUCAGCUCCAUCUUCAUGACGCACGCUUGUACUACCUUCUGUAGUACUUCACGAACUGAAACAGAACAUCUCAGCAGACUGCAUCUUCAAUCUCCCCCUUUUUGACUAUGCAUGUGCACUCAUCAUAACUGGCUUGAAAACCAUGUCUUCAAUCUCCCCUUAUGAGUCACAUCAUGGUCAAAAACCAACUCGAAGAUCAUCAACUUCCAAACCUAGGAAGAAAUCCCAUCACGCCAUCUUCAUCAAUCUUCAAUCAAACUUUGUCUUACUUCCUGAACAAGUUUCGUCCUCAUCAUCCACGAUCUCACUAGUAACUUAGGUGACCUGCUCUGAUACCAAUUGUUAGUGCAGAUGAGGCAACGAAAAAUAAGUGCAGAAAGUAAAACACACAAAAUUUGUUAACGGGGUUCGUUUCCUACAUCCUCGGGACCUCGUCCAGAUUUCAUUGACUUAGAACAAGGAGCAACCUACAAUUGCUAUAUGAUACAACACACACACUAGUGUUUACCACUCUUUUCUAAGUAGCAAUCUACAAAGAUUAGAAAUCAAGCAUGCAUGCAUAGAUCACCAUCCGGCUCACCGGAGCACACUGUCUUCUACAGCUGCAAUCUUCACAGAUUUCUUCAAUGAAACCGCCAUUGCUAAACUCCCCCUGAGUCUAGGCUUUCAAUCUUCCACUUCUCGGAAGUACUUCACCAAGUACGCCAGCAUCCAACGCACACCAGUAACACUAAAACGCUUGAUCACCCAAGCACACACAAAGCUCACACGAGCUACACAGGAUGGCUAACUCCACCGCACAAAGCGCCAACUCAAACGCCACCAAACUAAGUCCACAUCGGACUCCAUCAGACAAUGCUUCAGAAUGUCCUUCGACACCAAGCAGUACCACACACCAAGGAAACCUCUCUCUCUCUUCUAUGAGGUCUAGCUGUCUCAUAAGGCACGCCCCUCCUUAUAUAGCUACCAGAACUUGCUCUCCAAGUCUUCCAAAUACACUUAAGACAACUUUCCAUUUUCUUUAAUGGAAAACUUCAUCUUCAAGUAACUCUCUUUUGCUUUAUGGAAAACGUCCAUAUGUCUUCAAACAU
rnacentral:lncRNA from 1 species